rnacentral:misc_RNA from 1 species
AAAAAAAAAAAAAAAACAGAAAGACAGGCCCUGGAGAAAAGCUAAAGAGAGCAGACGAGGACCGACCUCUUCAGGCUUACUAGAUACUAAUGGUCUAAUCCAGUGCCUACAAUUUUUUUUUUAACAGGAACCUUGUGCCUCGUGGUGGUGUCUAAUUGUUUUCAAGUUAACAGGCACGUGGUCUUCACGUCUUAUACCCCAUUCCUCACGCUUUCCCCCAGUCUUUGCUUUUAUUGUGG